AUACUUACCUGGCAAGAGAGACACCGUGAUCAAGAAGGCGGUUCACCCAGGGCGAGGCUCAGCCAUUGCACUCCGGCUGUGCUGACCCCUGCGAAUUUCCCAAAUGUGGAAAUCUCGAUUGCAUAAUUUCUGGUAGUGGGGGACUGCGUUCGCGCUCUCCCCUG
rnacentral:snRNA from 1 species